CAUUUGCCAUCUGGAGAGCGGUGCUCAGGCACCCACCGAAGGAGCAAGCCGGCCAUACCUAUGUGUCCGGUCAAACUCUCAGGUACCGAGGACAGGGGGAGGGGC
rfam:Thalassolituus oleivorans MIL-1 complete genome